rnacentral:lncRNA from 1 species
AACCCUCAGUUUGUGAGGGUGUGCAGUCUUUGACUAGACUGGUAUACAGGGAAUAAAUUCACUGGCAAGUAAAUCUGAUUUUUUUUUUUUUUUUUUUUUUUUUUUUUUUUAAAGAUUUUAUUUAUUUAUUUGUCAGAGAGAGAGUGAGUGAGAGCGAGCACAGGUAGACAGAGUGGAAGGAAGAGUCAGAGGGAGAAGCAGGCUCCCUGUGGAGCAAGGAGCCCGAUGUGGGACUCGAUCCCAGGACGCUGAGAUCAUGACCUGAGCCGAAGGCAGCUGCUUAACCAACUGAGCCACCCAGGCGUCCCGCAACAACAAGACUUUGGCUCAAAGGACUAGGAGUUGGGAAGUGAAAAGGUCUGACCCAGGAACAUUUCUCCAUCCUUCCUUUACUGAAGCUCUUUCCGUCUAGUGUAUUGAGGACAAAAAAGUGAGAUGGGAGAAAAGGGUAAGUCAAAUGACUCUUACUUAAUUGGGGUUGGUCUUUUC